CGGGGUGUAGCGCAGUUGGUAGCGCGUCUGGUUUGGGACCAGAAUGUCGGGAGUUCGAGUCUCUUCACUCCGACCA
rnacentral:tRNA from 1 species